rnacentral:rRNA from 1 species
AGUGAACGCUGGCGGUAGGCCUAACACAUGCCAGUCGAACGGCAGCACAGUAAGAGCUUGCUCUUACGGGUGGCGAGUGGCGGACAGGUGAGGAAUACAUCGGAAUCUACUUUUUCGUGGGGGAUAACGUAGGGAAACUUACGCUAAUACCGCAUACGACCUACGGGUGAAAGCAGGGGAUCUUCGGACCUUGCGCGAUUGAAUGAGCCGAUGUCGGAUUAGCUAGUUGGCGGGGUAAAGGCCCACCAAGGCGACGAUCCGUAGCUGGUCUGAGAGGAUGAUCAGCCACACUGGAACUGAGACACGGUCCAGCCUCCUACGGGAGGCAGCAGUGGGGAAUAUUGGACAAUGGGCGCAAGCCUGAUCCAGCCAUACCGCGUGGGUGAAGAAGGCCUUCGGGUUGUAAAGCCCUUUUGUUGGGAAAGAAAAGCAGCAGGUUAAUACCCCGCUGUUCUGACGGUACCCAAAGAAUAAGCACCGGCUAACUUCGUG